GAUGAAGAACGCAGCGAAAUGCGAUACUUGGUGUGAAUUGCAGAAUCCCGUGAACCAUCGAGUCUUUGAACGCAAGUUGCGCCUCAAGCCAUUAGGUUGAGGGCACGUCUGCCUGGGCGUCACAUAUCGUUGCCUGAUGCCAGUUUCCUCGUGAUGGGUGACUGUGCAGGGCGAAUGAUGGCUUCCUGUGAGCAUUGUUGCCUCAUGGUUGGUUGAAAAUUGAGUCCUUGGUAGGGAGCGCCGUGAUAGAUGGUGGUUGAGUGACGAACGAGACCCAAUCAUGUGAGACCCCUACCGAAUUUGGCCUUCAUGACCCACAUGCGUCUUUGGAACGCUCAUGACGAGACCUCAGGUCAGGCGGGGCUACCCGCUGAGUUUAAGCAUAUCAAUAAGCGGAGGA
rnacentral:misc_RNA from 1 species